ACUCCUGAAAAAUUUUGGAAAUCUUUGAAAUCUUGAAGGUCUUUUAAGUCUUGAAAGUCUUGAUUACUUUAAUAAAUCUUGAAAGCUUAACACGUAGUCAAUAUUUUACAAGUAUUUUGAAUAUUUCAUUGUCAUAAGAUAUUAAACAAAAUCUAAAAUGUCUGAGGUAUCGGAAAUGCAUCCCAAUGCAACUUUCAAGACCUUCAAGACUUACAAGAUUUCCAAGGCUUAUAAGACUUUCAAGAGUUAUAGGGCAUCGAAUCCUAUUGGAAGUGAUUCAAAAUUUUGACGGUUCUGAAAAAUAUCGAAUCGUUUCGAAACUAAUUGUGAGACUCGAAUACCAAUCACUACUUGCAGCUACAUCAUCCAUUAAAUAACAUUAUUAAAGGUUAACGUUUCUGUUGUGUUUGUAUUCAAAGAUAUUAGAUUGUUCUUGUCAAGGCCAACAAUUUUUUAAAUGACGAAAGCAUAUAUUUAUGUACUUUCAUUCAUUCAAACUUGUUUAAAUAAAUUUAUUAAUAAACCCAAAUCUGACGUUUUUGGUAAGUUUUGAAUAUCGAGUGAAUUAAACUAAAAAAGUAUCAUAUUUUUAUAUGAGGGUUAAUAUUGUCUCAUUGAAAAAAAAUCUGUUUUAUUAACAAAUUCUGAAUGUUUCUUCUUAAUUUUCUUUAAUAUCCAACUAAAAACCGUAUUUGUUUGUAUGUUCUAUUAUUUUAUAGAAAUUCAUAUAAAAAGCUACGAAUUUUUCGAAUAGCCUAAUAAUUAAACAAUUGAGAUGGUAAAUAAUGUGUGCUAGAAGAGAAGAAGAAGGAUAUAAAUGCAUUGAAUUAGUUAAAUUAAAGAUUACAUUGAUACCUUUAUAUUUUUUAAUCAGAACAAAAAUGACGCUUACAAAUUUUGGUUCUAUGUAUUUUAUAUGAUAGCUCUAACAGCUGAAAUGUAUUAUUCUAUCACUUAUACAGUUAGUAUAGAAUUUAUAAAAUUAAAAUUAAAAUUUUCUAAACUAAUCAACUUUUAUUUUAUUUAGUAUUUCUUUUAUAAAAAAAUUAGAAAAACGCAUCGAUUGGUCUAUAAGUAAAUAUACUUAAAUAUACUAUAGUUCGGUUUAAAGAGAUAGAAAUGAUCUUAAAUAUUUGAAAUAUCUUCACUUCCGGAUCAACAACGUGUACCACGUGAUGCAUGAUUCAAAACUAUUUAAUCUUGUGAUAUUUUUAUCUGUUACUGUUUAAAAAGUAUGACUUCAUCCAGUAACAAGAAAUGCUAUAGCAUACGUGACAAUUUUUAUAACAAAUAUAGCAUCAAUUAAAGCAUAUUUAAUCCAGUAAGAACUAAGUAGGAAGAUAAUUCGUAGAAGUUGCAUAUACGUAGUAUUAUUGGAAAAGGCAAAUGAAGUAAUUUGUUUUGUCAAGUUGUAGGAGAUGGGUGCAGGAAGAAAUAGUAAUUGAAAAAAAUAUUAUCCCAACUUCUUGGGAUUCUUUUUUAAUAUAAUGUUAAAACACAAAAUUGGCUAAUAUAAAUUAACUGAAGAAUGUUGCAAAUAAAAUGUUGCGUCAAUGCAACGUUGUUCCUUAACGGAUUAAUGAAUACUAAAACACGGUAAUAAUAUAACAUGUUGACAUUUUACGAUGUACAAGUAAUCGAUGAAGACGAGUUACUUCACACUAUGAGAUGUGAGACGUUUGCAGUGUAUGCAGCGGGCGAUAAUCUGAUAUCGUCUGAACGUGGUAUAGGUCGUUGA